rnacentral:rRNA from 1 species
GACGAACGCUGGCGGCGUGCUUAACACAUGCAAGUCGAACGGAAAGGCCCUGCUUUUGUGGGGUGCUCGAGUGGCGAACGGGUGAGUAACACGUGUGUAAACUCCCCUUGACUUUGGGAUAACUUCAGGGAACUGGGGCUAAUACCGGAUAGGAGCUCCUGCUGCAUGGUGGUGAUUGGAAAGUUUCGGCGGUUGGGGAUGGACUCGCGGGUUAUCAGCUGGUUGGUGGGGUAGUGGCUUACCAAGGUUUUGACGGGUAGCCGGCCUGAGAGGGUGACCGGCCACAUUGGGACUGAGAUACGGCCCAGACUCCUACGGGAGGCAGCAGUGGGGAAUAUUGCACAAUGGGCGGAAGCCUGAUGCAGCAACGCCGCGUGCGGGAUGACGGCCUUCGGGUUGUAAACCGCUUUCGCCUGUGACGAAGCGUGAGUGACGGUAAUGGGUAAAGAAGCACCGGCUAACUACGUG